rnacentral:rRNA from 1 species
CCUACGGGGGGCAGCAGUGAGGAAUAUUGGUCAAUGGACGAGAGUCUGAACCAGCCAAGUAGCGUGAAGGAUGACUGCCCUAUGGGUUGUAAACUUCUUUUAUAUGGGAAUAAAAUGUUCCACGUGUGGGAUUUUGUAUGUACCUUAUGAAUAAGGAUCGGCUAACUCCGUGCCAGCAGCAGCGGCAAUACGGAGGAUCCGAGCGUUAUCCGGAUUUAUUGGGUUUAAAGGGAGCGUAGGUGGAUUGUUAAGUCAGUUGUGAAAGUUUGCGGCUCAACCGUAAAAUUGCAGUUGAAACUGGCAGUCUUGAGUACAGUAGAGGUGGGCGGAAUUCGUGGUGUAGCGGUGAAAUGCUUAGAUAUCACGAAGAACUCCGAUUGCGAAGGCAGUUCACUGGACUGCAACUGACACUGAGGCUCGAAAGUGUGGGUAUCAAACAGGAUUAGAUACCCCAGUAGUC